GACCUGAUAGCAUAAUGUAGAAUGUGUCUGCUUUUUAUUCAAAGAACAGGAAAAAAAUUCUGCAGAAGGUCCCUGUUCGAUACGGGGUCAGGUCG